rnacentral:rRNA from 1 species
UACGGAGGGUGCAAGCGUUAAUCGGAAUUACUGGGCGUAAAGGGUGCGUAGGUGGUUGAUUAAGUUAUCUGUGAAAUUCCUGGGCUCAACCUGGGCGUGUCAGAUAAGACUGGUUGACUUUAGUAUGGGAGAGGGUAGUGGAAUUUCCGGUGUAGCGGUGAAAUGCGUAGAGAUCGGAAGGAACACCAGUGGCGAAGGCGGCUACCUGGCCUAAUACUGACACUGAGGCACGAAAGCGUGGGGAGCAAACAGG